CCAAGAGGCCCAGUCCAGCACCCAGCUCUCCCUGGAGCGCUGCUCACUGCCACUCAUACUCAAAAAGCUGUUGCUGUGUGGGGAUGAGACAUUGCAGGUGGCCAGUGCUCAGUGUAUGGCUGCUAUCCUGGUCCACUCCCCCAGCCAGUACUGUGCUUCCUUCAUCCAGGCAGACGUACCUGAGUUUCUGUUUGAGCGUCUGAACAGUGGCAGUGAGGUGCUGCUGUGGUCCGUCUACAGCUGUC